rnacentral:rRNA from 1 species
GAAGCACAGUAAUGUGUGAAGCUAACUUGUACUAAUUGGCUGAUUGUCUUGACCAUAUAACCUGAAGUGCUGUAAGU